ensembl:snoRNA
CUUCCCACUUGUUUGCUGGUAUAGUCUUACAAUGAUAUGAAUAGUUUUGCUCUUGGGAAAAAUAAUAUUGGGGCAUUGUAAAUUGACAUGAAGUAACUAUUUUCAUAUUUUCUGCAUAGACUAGAUGUUG